rnacentral:sRNA from 1 species
UUUUUUUUUCCCCGGUAGGUCGCCAGCUGAGGCGGUUUGUAAGUUUUGGGUCUCAGUAUGCUAGAAUUUUGAGGCUCCCUUCUGAUGAAAAUUGAGCUGUCCAUGCAGCCAUGGAACCUGGGUUACAGCAGUGAGGGGGCCACGGCUCAAGAAACUUACACAUGUCCAAAAAUGAUUGAGAUAGAGCAGGCGGAGGCCCAGCUUGCUGAGUUAGACCUGCUAGCCAGUAUGUUCCCUGGUGAGAAUGAGCUCAUAGUGAAUGACCAGCUGGCUGUAGCAGAACUGAAAGAUUGUAUUGAAAAGAAGACAAUGGAGGGGCGAUCUUCAAAAGUCUACUUUACUAUCAAUAUGAACCUGGAUGUAUCUGAUGAAAAAAUGAUCAGUAUUAUUGAGUAGAUCCCAGCAGACUCAGCUGAACACAGAUCUGACUGCAUUCCUGCAAAAACAUUGUCAUGGAGAUGUUUGUAUACUGAAUGCCACAGAGUGGGUUAGAGAACACGCCUCUGGCUAUGUCAGCAGAGAUACUUCAUCUUCACCCACCACAGGAAGGACAGUCCAGUCAGUUGACCUCAUCUUCACGAGACUCUGGAUCUACAGCCAUCAUAUCUAUAACAAAUGCAAAAGAAAGAAUAUUCUAGAGUGGUCAAAGGAGCUUUCCCUGUCUGGGUUUAGCAUGCCUGGAAAACCUGGUGUUGUUUGUGUGGAAGGCCCACAAAGUGCCUGUGAAGAAUUCUGGUCAAGACUCAGAAAAUUAAACUGGAAGAGAAUUUUAAUUCGCCAUCGAGAAGACAUUCCUUUUGAUGGUACAAAUGAUGAAAUGGAAAGACAAAGGAAAUUUUCCAUUUUUGAAGAAAAAGUGUUCAGUGUUAAUGGAGCCAGGGGAAACCACAUGGACUUUGGUCAGCUCUAUCAGUUCUUAAACACCAAAGGAUGUGGGGAUGUUUUCCAGAUGUUCUUUGGUGUAGAAGGACAAUGACAUCAAGAGUAGUUGAAAGUAUCUUGCCACUGUUGGCCUUUUGAUUUUUUUUUCCCACUUUUUCUUGAAAGAUUAAGUAAUUUUAUUUUAGUUCCAUUCUAGAAUGUUGGGGAGUGGGGCACAAGAAAAAAUAGUAUAGCUGAAAUGCAUCUGUUAAAAAUGUCAUGAUUGAAAGCAGAACUGAGUUUCAAAUUACAACCUUAAAAUUGUUGUUAGAUAUUUCUUCACAUAUCAGCUGCCCAUUUUGAAAAAGAAAUUAUCCAUAAAGGUAAUGUUGGUGCUCCAAUUUGCCAGCCAUUCCCAACCCCCUUCUCCCUUACCUGCCUUCACUAAAGAACCCAGAAAAGCUAAUUGCUCCCCUUUCAGCCUCUGUUGCAACUAACAACUCUCAGUGGCCUCAGGACACAGCUUUGGCCUUGGGAAUUCUGGGAAAACUUUUACUUCCUGAUUAAAGAUACAUAUGCAGCUAGGCCACCUCCUCCCCCCCUUACUGCCAUAAACACCAAAGUGAUGACUGGAGCUGGAGGAGUUAUUUGAACCAUGACAGAAGGAAGGGCCAAGAGAACCACGAAGAUGCCAGUUGCCACAUUGUUGAGCUGCUGACCCAACACCAGCCAUUGCCUGUCUCUAAACGUCUUAUGAAAUAAAACCAGUUUUGUUUAA